GUAUUAGACUCGAAGCUCGCUUUGUUAAGGCAAGCAUACAAGUGACAUUCUAUUGACAUACAAUAAGGGCAUAUAUAAACAUAGACACGAGCCUUUCAAGGUCGAUCAGACCCCAGCAAAGGAUCAUUGACAAGUCAAUGAAACCCUCUCAGCCCAAGUCUACAAAGGUGCACGGGUUGAGUUAUGUUCAAUAACAAAGGGGCGUGCACGUGCAUUAAUGCCAGCUACAACCCCUUCAAUAAACCAUUAAUGAUCCUUCCGCAGGUUCACCUACGGAAA
rnacentral:misc_RNA from 1 species